GGGCUGGUUAGCUCAGUUGGUUAGAGUGUGGUGCUAAUAACGCCAAGGUCGCGGGUUCGAUCCCAGUACAGACCA